rnacentral:rRNA from 1 species
ACUCACUCUGGUCCCUCCCUCCCUUUCUUCUCCUCGAUGUCCAUUGUCCCGCACACCAUUCUGCGCCCGUUCGGCGUGAACCCGUGCGGCGGCGGCGGCGGCUAUCUGAGGCGGCACGCACGGACGUGCCUCCGCCGUGCGAGCCCCGUCGGUGCAACGAACGGGAAUGAGCCGGGCGGUAGCAAGAAGAGGAGUAGGAAGAGGCCGGCGGAGGAGUCGCGGUUGGAGGUCCUUUAUGAUGACGGGUUCGGGAGCGUCACCAUGAAGGAUUACCGGGAGGCGGUGAGGGCCAUGCCCAGGGACGACGGCGGGCCGCCGCGGUGGUUCUGCCCCGUGGAGUGCGGCCGGCCGGAGGUCGACAGGGCGCCGCUGCUGCUCUUCUUGCCAGGAGUCGAUGGUGUUGGAAUGGAGCUCAUUCUGCACCACAAAUCACUGGGCAAAGUAUUUGAGGUUUGCUGCUUUCAUAUACCAGUAAAUGCCCGCACACCAUUUGAAGGUUUAUUACAAAUUGUGGAAGAAUAUGUCAAACAUGAGAAUGCUUUGUCGCCAAGCAGACCAAUAUAUAUAAUUGGGGAUUCUUUUGGUGGAUGUCUUGCAAUUUCAGUGGCAGCUCGCAAUCCAGAAAUCGACUUGGUUCUUACACUAGUAAAUCCAGCAACAUCAUCUGCAAAAGCUUCGUUGCAGGCAGUAUUGCCUCUUUUGGAAGCAGUGGCGAGCAACCUUCCAUUUAUACAUCCUCACCUUCUCAAAUAUUCAAUGGAAGCAUGCAAGGCGGCGCACGCAGCAAGCAUUUCAUGAGCAAAACAGAUAUGGGGCACCACCUGGUUGGGUAACACCAGAAAUACCGCCUGGAUAUUUCAACAGUACAUGCAGAUUUGAAGAUACACCGCAAUCAUUAGAAGCACGGACAGGUCCUUCUAUACAGCAAACAACAAUGUCUGGGAAUGCAAGCUUUGCCGCUACUGGGUUGCAACUAGGCCAACAAUAUCACCAACAACAAAUGUUUUCCUUCCCCAGCGCAUAAGAAGGCUUCCACCAGUCGCUCUGUCAACAUCAAUCAUCCGUGCUGCAAAAGCAGUUGUGACGGGAAGACCAGGGCAAAAGACAGAAAUUUUGGCCACUCUAGCAGGUUCAAAAGUACAAGAUAUGAGCCAUAUAGACAGGAGCAACAUCAUAAUGAAUCUGAGGAGAGACGUCCGUACAACGAGAGACGGAGAUCUUCGUCAUUGUUGCUCCCUCCAAGAGAUGCAUUGCUACAUGUGCCAAGGGUGACACCACCGGCGCCCAUAAACCAGGGAGAACAACAAACACCAGAGGCAGCCCAGAGCUAUACACAUCCACCUGACAUUGAAGCUUAUGUUCUGCCAAGGCUAGAGAUGAGGUUUGAAACUUUCGAAGAAACUAAGAACUUCUACAACGUAUAUGCAAAGCACGCUGGUUUUGCUGUCAGGGAAGGCCCCAAGUUUAAGACCAGAGCCUACCUUUAUUGCACGUGCCAUGGAGUUUAUGAAUCAAAGGUGUCUGAAACAAAUAGACAGCGGAACAAAACGACAGCCAGGACUGACUACAGGGCUAAAAUGAGGCUGAAGAUUGAAAAGGAUGGAACACUUGUCGUAAAAGAGAUAGUCUGGGAACACAACCACAGGCUACAGCUCACUCCACAAAUGCUUGUCUUCUUGCACUCCCACAAAAAUUUUGACAAAACAAUCUUGGAGUACGUCAAGUACCUGCAGUUCAAAGGCAUUGAACACGCGCAAAUCAUGAGCAUUCUGGGCGGUGAUGACCCUGGUAGCUACUUCCUCGAAAUGAAUGCCAAAGACCUGAUUAACAUGAAAGCAAAGAAUUCAAGGAUUGAUGAUGUGGAUGAUGUCCUAAAGACUGUCAACUUCUUUAGGGAGAUGAAAGCUAUAAACAGGGAAUUCUUCUGUGACAUGCAACUCGAUGAGUCCGACAGAGUUAAGAACAUAUUCUGGGCGAACGCAAGCUGCCGAGGCGCAUAUCAGGACUUCGGUGACUGCGUAACAUUUGACACCACGUACAAGACCAACAAGUACCAUAUGCCACUUGGGGUGUUUGUCGGUACUAACAACCACUUACAGACUACAUUCUUUGGUUUCGCCCUGAUAAGAGAUGAGGAUGCAGAAUCAUUCAGAUGGUUGUUCAAGACGUUUUUAAGGUGCAUGAGAGGGAAGGCUCCUACAUGCAUCCUCACAGUGCCAGGCAAUGGCUUUGGCGAUCGCAGAUGUUUUCAAGAACACAAUACAUAAGCUAUACCGCUGGCACAUUACGAAGAAGUACAGGGAACACCUCGCGUACCUAUAUUUCCUGCACGAGGACCUUAAGGAUGAAUUCACAUCAAUUCUCAACUGGCCCCUCAUGCCAACUGAGUUUGAGGAUGCCUGGAAAAGACUCAUGGAUAAGUACAACCUCCAUGAUGAUGCCACAAUGGUGGGCAUGUGGAACGAGCAUGAGAAAUGGAUAUCAGCCUACUUCAAAGAAAUUUUCUGCGCCAAAAUGACAUCCACACAGCGAAGUGAGAGCAUGAACUAUGUGCUCAAGAAGAACUACGUAAAUGAGAGACAUAACCUACACCGAUUUGUCAGCCAGAUAAACUCCUGCGUCAAAAGCAGGAGGCAGACAGAGAACCAGGAGACAAUGGGUAACCGGACGGAACAAAACACGCUGACCUUCUAUGGGUUUGACACCCAGAUGGCAAAGCUGUACACGCGAGUUGUGUACAGCGAGAUCAGAGAUAGGCUAAAACUGAGCACUCUCUUCACGGCGAUAGAGACGGAAGAGCCCACAAAGUACCUAGUGCGCUACAACCACCCGCAAAAACUGUCUGUGUAGGCUCAGCACGCGUUCCAGGUGGUUGCAGACCCCGUGGGAGAAACAUAUGAGUGCGAGUGCAGGCUAUGGGACCACACAGACAAUUAAGGCUCAAAGCGUUCCAGAGAAAUACAUACUCAAGAGAUACACCAAACGACCGAAUAUCCAGCCAACAUUUGACAGAAAUGACUUGAGGACAGUAGCGUCAAACAAGGCAUCCCAAUACUGCAUUGAAAUCUCACUGCUGACGCUGAACAUGAGGGUGCACAGAAAAAGCUUGAGAAGCCAAGAGCAAAUGGCAAGGACGCGGGUCGUCAUGGACAAACUUGAACAAGAACUCGACGCCAUGCAUUCUGCUGACAAUGGGGGUGUCGCGGACAAUGAAGCCAUUGAGCAGGAUAUUGCUACAAUGUUGUCCGAGAUGAACCAUAUGGGAGCUAUUGACCCGUUUGAGAACGAGGAAGAGGAGCAGCAGCAACCGGAGCUUGCCCGUGUGGACACUCAAGAGCAACGACAAACUCACAUGCAAGAUCAUGAGCUUGAUGGUGCUGUAGGCGAACGACAUGACAAUAGCACAUCCUACAAGCAGCAUCAGGAAAGGGUGAUUAAACCCCCAAUAUUCUCAAACACAAAGGGGAGGAAGAGCAAGACGCAAGCAACAGCCAAAAAGCCACCACGCCCCAUCAAGCGCGUGGAAUUUGGCCCGGACGGCAAACCCCUCGGGGUAAGGGCAUGCGGAUUCUGCAAUGUCGUGAGCAACCAUAACUACCGCACAUGCCCACUCCGCACAGAUGCCACUGUCAACAAGAACAAGCAGAUUGGAGCCACCCAGCUUUCUACCAAUGGAGACAACACACGUAACAGCUACACUUGCCGCAAGUGUGGCGGAACUGACGGACAUAAUGCCCGCACGUGCAAAGUGGGCAAGGAGGUCAGUGGAGCUGAACAUAAACAGGGCAAGGUACAGAGUUCCAAGCAAUCAAAUGAAGACGAUGAAGAAGAAGAGUUUGAUGAGAAUGACGGCCAAUCAGACGAAGACAAUGAACAUGACAGUGUCGGGGGCGAGGAAACUGAAACUGACGAUGAAGCUGCCAAGGCUCAACCUGGAAAGAGCGUCGGCAAGGCACAACAUUCGGGGACAGUUAGGAGAAGCUCAAGACUGAACAAUACAUAGUGGUUAUCCUGCUGCGUCAACUAAAAAAUAACCGUGUAGUCUCAAUUGAAUCAGCACACAAUGAGGAAGCAUUUCACAAAAACACUGUCAUUUACCAAAACUUAUUUAGCUUUAUCGUCAAUUUCUCGAUCAGAACUAAAGUUAUUUUUAGUUUGUGAUUCGUGACCACUGGAGCAGUGAUAUUGUUAUGUAAACCAUUUGAUAAUCAUUUUGAAUGCAGUCACAAAAUACGUUUGAAAAAACUUAUCUGGAUAUAUCCGACGCAAAAGGCUACUAUGAACCAGUAACUCAGGAAAAAAAUAUGUCAAGGAAAAUUUUAAACUCUUGUAGCAUAUUAGUACUGAUAACUAUCAGUCGUCAGUACAAGGCAGAGUACACAUCAGUACUGAUAUAAUUUCUAAUUUGUGCCCGCUGAAGCAGUGACAUUAUUAUUUAAACCAUUUGAUAAUCCUUUUGAAUGCAGUCAAAAAUAAAAUUGAAAAAACUUAUCCUCAUAUAUCUGACGCAAAACUAUGCCUGCUCCUACAAGUCCCAAUUCAGAAAGACCAUCAGUACAUAAAAAUAAUUACAUCAAGCAAAAUGCGAAUAUAAUACAUCCUGUACUGGUGAAAAUCUAAUUUAUCUGUAAAAAAUACUCACAUGUUAUCUUGAUAUAAACAAUCCUUUAAAAAAAUAUGAAAAUUGUUUAAAAAACAUUAGCACCACACAUAGUAUCGCUGGUAUUUGGUACGUUCAAUUACACUUCAAUCACCAGUCCGAGUACGACACUAGAGGAGUUCAGACCUCCACCAACACCGACGCUGACACGUGCAAGUAGGAUAAGCAGCUGAUAAGUACAGCUUGACUAUACGAAUCGGUGCCACAGUAAAAUGCCAUCAUCACCACCGCAGAGACGUGCAAGUGGGGUUUUGCAGGUCAUAAGUACAGCUACACAAGACUAGCCAGUUCAACAGUAAAAACCAUUUAACUUGGACGGUUAGUUCUUCCAGGCCACCACCCGCGCCACCCACUGCGCGGUUGCCAUGACGAAGUGCAAACGACGACCCCCACGACCACUACACACAAGCCCCCCGACGAACCGCCUCCCACACACCACCGUCGGCGCACUGAAAAAAAUACCCCAUUGUCUUCCAUCUCUCCCUCGUUUCCACAAACCACCAUUGCCGCUUCCAUUUCCACUGCACACAAACCUCCAGCGUCUCUCUCCAAAGCCCACAAGUCGCCGGAGGAAGGCCAUGGCGGAGGAACCGUCCGCCAAGCGUCAUCAUGCCGAGACGUCGGACAAGAGGAGCAACCUCGUCGACAUUAACGUCCUCGGCGAGAAGCGUGACUACACCAGAACGCUCAAAGGGGUUGAGCUCCACGGCAAGGAGACGCUGGAGAUCGUCUGCACCAGCGAACCAGACAAGGCCGAUGAGGUGAUCUCCAGGCUCUGGAGGAAGCUUGGCGGCAGGAUUCGUAGGAUCAUCGGCGUUGGUGUGCACUACACCAACGAAGAUGAACCUCCCCAGAUGGCGGCAGUCCUGCAGUUGUGCGUCGACGAACUCUGCUUGGUGUACCACAUCGCAACGGCCACAAAAUGGCCCAAGCGCCUGACGGACAUGCUGCAGCAUGACAAGUUGUCCACAUUUGCCGGUUUCAGCAUUGAAAGCGACAAACAGAAGCUGAAGUUGUCCGGUAUGGAGAUCAACUCCAACAAGUUCAUCGACAUUCAGCGCAAGUGGAGAGUUCCAUACACCGGAAAAGAGUACGACUCCUUGGCUGAUGUUGCAGCCAGUGUCAUCCACCCAUUCUACAAAGGCAUGAAGAACAAGAUCAACACGCAGGAAGACUACAAACUGUGGGGGACAAGCGAGCUGCCAGACAACCUCAUCGAGUACGCAGGAGUAGAUGCGUACGCCGCGUAUAAGUCAUGGUUCAUGAUCGACUACAUCACAGAUGGUUCGGAAUUUGCGAAAGAGCGGGAGGCUAACAACUUCUACGACCACCCCUAUUGCCCCUUUACGGGAUGAAGAUACAUCAGAGCCUGCCUUCGUUUUACUUCCGCUUGUGCUUGCCUUUUAUCUUGUUGUUUCAAAUUAGUAGUUUGCUCUUGUUGGGUUGAACCAGUAUGAUUAUGUCGUGCUUGUCAUGUUUGAACAAGUU